rnacentral:rRNA from 1 species
UACGAAGGGGGCUAGCGUUGCUCGGAAUCACUGGGCGUAAAGCGCACGUAGGCGGCUUCUUAAGUCAGGGGUGAAAUCCUGGAGCUCAACUCCAGAACUGCCUUUGAUACUGAGGAGCUUGGAGUCCGGGAGAGGUGAGUGGAACUGCGAGUGUAGAGGUGAAAUUCGUAGAUAUUCGCAAGAACACCAGUGGCGAAGGCGGCUCACUGGCCCGAUACUGACGCUGAGGCACGAAAGCGUGGGGAGCAAACAGG